rnacentral:lncRNA from 1 species
CAUUUGGCAGCUGGGAGGAACGAAUCAGAGUCCACAUUCUUUGAGAACCACAGCCACUGCCCUCCUGCGAAGGCCACUUGACAGGAGAAGGUAGAAAGAAGCCCAGAGAUGGCCAGCAGCGGGUGGGCAGUCAGAGC